rnacentral:rRNA from 1 species
GAUGAACGCUGGCGGCGUGCCUAACACAUGCAAGUCGAACGAGAAGCUAACCUUUGAUUCCUUCGGGAUGAUCAGGUUGGCAGAAAGUGGCGAACGGGUGAGUAACGCGUGGGUAAUCUACCCUAAAGUGGGGGAUAACCCUCCGAAAGGAGGGCUAAUACCGCAUAAUAUCUUCUCCUCUAAAGAGGUAAAGAUUAAAGGUGGCCUCUAUUUAUAAGCUAUCACUUUAGGAUGAGCCCGCGUCCUAUUAGUUAGUUGGUGGGGUAAUGGCCUACCAAGACCACAAUGGGUAGCCGGUCUGAGAGGAUGUACGGCCACACUGGGACUGAGAUACGGCCCAGACUCCUACGGGAGGCAGCAGUGGGGAAUAUUGCGCAAUGGGGGAAACCCUGACGCAGCGACGCCGCGUGGACGAUGGAGGCCUUCGGGUUGUAAAGUCCUGUUCUGGGGGAAGAAACCUUAAGGGUCCAAUAAACCCUUAAGCUGACGGUACC